UAACACAUUCUGAUUAAAAUGGUGUUCAGUGUUGGAGUUAUUUAACAGAGUUAUUCAAACCCAAGCAAAUCAACUCUGUAGAGAUGUGAAGUGCGUCUCAGCCGAGUUAUCUUGUCAACGAUAUUUGAAUUUCGAAUUUUACCGGUCGCCAUUGCCAGAAGAACGGCUAUCAGUAUGCUACCAACGUCCAGAAGAGGACACCGGACGGCUUAUGAAAGCAUUGUUUCGGACACAAGUAAAAGGAGAAGAAUGCUGCUCAGCUGGGUCGGCGAAGCUCUUGGAUAUCAUCUGCAUCUAUGAAGGCACCGGUAGGCACAGAGUCAUUCCGGUAGGCACGGAGUCGUUCCUCGAUGGACGUGAUGACCUGGCACCAAAACCGCUUAAUGUGUAUGAAGCUGUCUGCAUCGAGGGAAGAACCCAGUACUGAAAUGACACAAGUAAAAGGAGAAGAAUGCUGCUCAGCUGGGUCGGCGGUCACACUACUUAUUCAAGAACCUCUUGGAUAUCAUUGGCAUGUAUGCAGCACAGAGUCAUUCCAGUAGGCACGGAGUCGUUCCACGAUGGACGUGAUGACCUGGCACCGAAACCGCUUAAUGUGUAUGAAGCUGUCUGCAUCGAGGGAAGAACCCAGCACUGAAGUGACACAAAUGAAAGAAGGGGACUUCUGCUCUGCUGGGUCUGCGACACUACUUAUCUGAGGAGUCCUCAAACAUCAGGAUGUAGGAAGUAAGAUCUUUUUUAUGUCAUGCAUAACAGCCCAUGCGUGCACGCGCGCACACAG